UACGUAGGGGGCAAGCGUUGUCCGGAUUUAUUGGGCGUAAAGAGCGUGUAGGCGGCCAGGUAGGUGGGUUGUGAAAACUGGAGGCUCAACCUUCAGACGUCGACCCAAACCCCCUGGCUAGAGUCCGGAAGAGGAGAGUGGAAUUCCUGGUGUAGCGGUGAAAUGCGCAGAUAUCAAGGAGGAACACCGAUGGCGGAAGGCAGAUCUCUGGGCCGUAACUGACGCUGAGGAGCGAAAGCAUGGGGAGCGAACAGGG
rnacentral:rRNA from 1 species